UCUCCUUUUCUCUCUCUAAAACCCUAGCCUCUCUUACCCCUUCUUCAUCAAUUAGGGGGCUGUCAUGGAUGUUUUCAUCCAUGGUAAGCCCCUUUUUCCCUUUUAUUUUCAGUUUUUAGUUCAUUUUCUUGUUUUGUUCAAUAAAUUAGUAUCUCUUUAUGAGAUUUUCUCAAACCCUUUUAUGGGGUUUUUAGUUUCUGUUUUGGAAAUCUCCUUCUCCCCUAUGGGAGUUGUGAGUAAUGUUCUUUUGUUUUUAGGUAUGAGAAAUUAUUCUCAUGGGUUGAAGUUCGAGAUUCAACAUGAAGAAUUAGGGUUUCACAACUUCUGUAAAAUUAUAGAAGACUAUUGGAGUACGUUCAUCCCAAAAUUUCCGCAUCUGCAGAUCGUAUGCCGAACCAGAGCGAACUCACAGAUUGCAUUGCUUCAGAUGAAGAUUUUUAUUAAGGCAAAAUUAAGUCAAAUCUGCGAUGUUUACAUUUCUAGGGUGAUAUGUAUUUCUAUUAGAAUUUUAUGUUUUUCAGAAAUGACUUGUAAGUGCCGUUUGGCAAAAUAUUAAUAAAAUCCCUUUUCUUUCUUUUAAAAAAAAAAAAAGAGAUAAACUCGUCAAUUUAUGUUACAUCUUCGGGUGUUGUGCAUAAAAAAAAAAAUGAGUUUUGCUAUUUGACGCCCUAAAUUUUUUACUAACGCCCUAAAUACAUUGUAUUUUUAUAUAGUAUUUAGUACUUUACCUUUUCUGUUCCUUACUCGCAUAUAGUCUUAAACUACAUAGGUAUAUAGCCUAUAUGCGAGUAACACUCCAAAAACGCUCACGGUGUCGGUGCCGGUGCCGGUGCCGGUGCCCAACUCAUAAGCAAAUUGAAUUCCUUUAGAACCUCUGGAAUCUGGAACCUCUCAUAUGUCGUACGCAAAGCUCGAAUUGCAGAAGCUCGUUCCAGAUGUUAUGCCCCUUGAUGUUUGAGAAUAAAGGCUGGAUGGAGAACUGUAGCCGGAUAUUGCUAAUGCACCGUUCUUGACAUUUGUCAAUAGUUCCUGACUUUCACUUCAUCAGCAUAUUCUCAGUAUAGUCUUCUGCUUGCAGAUAAUCCCUAAGUUCUUGGUUUUCUUGUUUGGAAGUCUGUUCUAAUUCAUAGGGUUUCAUUUGUUUCAUGUUUUGGGCUUCCUUGUCGAGUUGUAGUCUCCUCUGUGAGAGUUGCUUGGGGCUUAAUAAGCUGGCAUAACGUCACAAACUAGAGCCACUGCUUAAAGGAAAAUGGUAUACCAAGGGAAAGGAAAGCCAAAACAGCACCAAAACUACUUCUUCCAGUCAGGCUGCUAAACUACCUCAGGAAAGGCUAUUUUUGCUGCGGCCCUUUCUCCGGAGUUUACCACGCGAACAAUGUGGGUCAACUGCUUUUGGCUUUAGCUAUUUUAUUAUUUCUCUUACUGCAGUUCUGCAGCUGUCGCUGACUGAGAUUUGAUUACUUAAGAGGGGUGUUUCUCGUUUGUUCCUAUUUUAGAACUAAUUUCUCAUAGAUUCUUAGAUCCCUUGUUUUCUGCUUUGUACAGAUCUUCUGCUUCAGGUGUUUGAUGGUGUUAGUUGUCUUGUACAA